CCCAGGGAACAAGACAUUGGCAGCAGCCAUUAUUGUGACCUAGUACAGGCAUGCUGACACAGAUGCCAGCAGACGCCAUUGGAGUUCUUCCUCUGGCCUGUUAGCCCAGGGGUUGGCACCACAUACUAAAGCACUGAUUUAAUCCAGUUCAGCCGUGGCAGGCAGUUGGCCCUUGGCACUGGCUGGCCCCACUCAACAGCAAGCCCUCAGGCAAUUCAUGGGCCCACAUAAGCAGGGUGCCUGAAAACUCUGGCUGCCAGGUUAACAAGGCAAGAGAUUCUACACGGUGGCAGAAGCCUGAUGAGCUUCUCCUUUACUUCCUAAUAAAAUAUCCUUGAAGACAUACAAACAUGUGAAAUCUGGCUUUG
rnacentral:lncRNA from 1 species